GACGAACGCUGGCGGCGUGCUUAACACAUGCAAGUCGAACGAAGUGGCGAACGGGUGAGUAAUACGUGGGUAACCUGCCCUCCUUUUUGGGAUAAGCCUUGGAAACGGGGUCUAAUACCGACUAAAGGGGGAUGGGCUCGCGGCCUAUCAGCUUGUCGGUGGGGUGGUGGCCUACCAAGGCGGUGACGGGUAGCCGGCCUGAGAGGGUGAACGGCGACAUUGGGACUAAGAUACUGCCCAGAGUCCUACGCGAGGCAGCAGUGGGGGUGAUUGCGCAAUGGGCGAAAGCCUGGUGCAGCGACGCCGCGUGGGGGAUGAAGGCUUUCGGGUUGUAAACCUCUUGCGCUAUCGAAAGGUUAGGUGGAAAAGAAGCGCCGGCUAACUACGUGCCAGCAGCCGCGGUAAUAC
rnacentral:rRNA from 1 species